GAUGAACGCUGGCGGCGUGCCUAAUACAUGCAGGUCGAGCGAACAGAUGAGGAGCUUGCUCCUCUGACGUUAGCGGCGGACGGGUGAGUAACACGUGGAUAACCUACCUAUAAGACUGGGAUAACUUCGGGAAACCGGAGCUAAUACCGGAUAAUAUAUUGAACCGCAUGGUUCAAUAGUGAAAGACGGUUUUGCUGUCACUUAUAGAUGGAUCCGCGCCGCAUUAGCUAGUUGGUAAGGUAACGGCUUACCAAGGCAACGAUGCGUAGCCGACCUGAGAGGGGGAUCGGCCACACUGGAACUGAGACACGGUCCAGACUCCUACGGGAGGCAGCAGUAGGGAAUCUUCCGCAAUGGGCGAAAGCCUGACGGAGCAACGCCGCGUGAGUGAUGAAGGUCUUCGGAUCGUAAAACUCUGUUAUUAGGGAAGAACAAAUGUGUAAGUAACUAUGCACGUCUUGACGGUACCUAAUCAGAAAGCCACGGCUAACUACGUG
rnacentral:rRNA from 1 species